rnacentral:rRNA from 1 species
UAUGUGAUCGUCUCUCGCAUAUCAAUAAGCGGAGGAAAAGAAACUAACAAGGAUUCCCCUAGUAACGGCGAGUGAAGCGGGAAGAGCUCAAAUUUGAAAUCUUAAAGGGUUUCCCUUUACGAAUUGUAGUUUAAAGAAGUGUUUUCUGUUGAGGUUUUGGUAAAAGUUCUUUGGAAUAGGACAUCAUAGAGGGUGAGAAUCCCGUAUUUGACCUUUACUUUCAACUUUGUGAUACACUUUCAAAGAGUCGGAUUGUUUGGGAAUGCAGUCCAAAAUGGGUGGUAAAUUUCAUCUAAAGCUAAAUAUUGGCGAGAGACCGAUAGCGAACAAGUACCGUGAGGGAAAGAUGAAAAGAACUUUGAAAAGAGAGUUAAACAGUACGUGAAAUUGUCAAAAGGGAAGCGUUUGACACCAGUGUUGUUUUUCUGAAAAUCAAUUAAAGAACUGUUUAUGCUAAGCUGUUUAGACUUUAUCAGCUAUCUGUUUAGUUUUGAGCUUUUCUUUAAUGCACUUUUCAGUUAACAAGUCAACAUCAAUUUCUUUUGCUGUAAAAAAGCUUGAGGAAGGUGGCUUGAGAUACGUCUUAAGUGUUUAUAGCCUCUUGCCUAUGCAGUCGGAGAGAUUGAGGUCUGCAGCGUAGAUCCUUCGGGGCUAAAUGCAUUUGUGCUAAGUUAUAGCAUUUUAUAGACAACUUGUUGACUAUGAUUUGUCUUGUAGCUUACUCGCUUAUGUUAUUUUACCUACGCUUAGGAUGUUGAACGCGCACAGAGUCUC